UCCAGACUCCUACGGGAGGCAGCAGUCGGGAAUAUUGCGCAAUGGAGGAAACUCUGACGCAGUGACGCCGCGUAUAGGAAGAAGGUUUUCGGAUUGUAAACUAUUGUCGUUAGGGAAGAGAAAGGACAGUACCUAAGGAGGAAGCUCCGGCUAACUACGUGCCAGCAGCCGCGGUAAUACGUAGGGAGCAAGCGUUAUCCGGAAUUACUGGGCGUAAAGCGCUCGUAGGCGGUAUGUCAAGUCAAGGGUGAAAUCCCCGCGCUCAACGUGGGAACUGCCUUUGAAACUGGCAAACUGGAGUGUGUGAGAGGAUAGUGGAAUUCCAGGUGUAGGAGUGAAAUCCGUAGAUAUCUGGAGGAACAUCAGUGGCGAAGGCGACUAUCUGGCACAUAACUGACGCUGAGGAGCGAAAGCGUGGGUAGCAAACAGGAUUAGAUACCCGAGUAGG
rnacentral:rRNA from 1 species